ensembl:piRNA 21ur-10523 ncRNA
UUUUAAAUCAUCGUGAAGAGU